CAUGAGACCUACACCGUUAACCUGUGUGUGUAUUCUAACUUUCUAUUGGUCCCUUAUAAAGCAACGUGAAGUUCUUUGGCUACUGAUUGGCCAGGGGACGGCGCAACUACGUACGGCGACGCAACAGGCAACAGGUGCGUGAAAGGGGAUCGUCGGCGGGUUCGUGACACGACGCGACGGCUCCUGCACGCGACAUAAGUUUAGCGGCCUACAAGAUUUAAUCCAUUGUUAAUGUGCGUGAUAUUUUGAGUAAUUACCAAAGCAGGUGUAUGUUUUGGCUGAACUAGUAGCACGCUACGCUACUAGCACGCUACUAGCACUAGCACGCUAGCUACGCUACGCUACUAGCACGCUACGCUGCUAGCUAUGCUAUGGUACUAGCACGCUACGCUACUAGCACGCUACGCUACUAGCACGCACGGACUCUGGGGCGUUUUUUCCAUCAGAGUGCUUACCGCCAGCUAGCGCCUCUGUGGAGUUCAUCAGCUCGACGACGACCCAGGUGAAAUUCAUCCGCGAUUCUCUGGCUACGAGGGAGGUGAGACUGUCUUCAUCGUCUUCAUCCACGGUCAAGGUCUGGGGAGAGGAGCCGCCCUGUUCUGGACUGGACCUGGGGACGGUGGGUGGAGACACUGCAGGGCGACGGUCGGUGUGAUCGAGACCUUGAUGGACGGACACGGCAGUUGGAACAUGUCCACGCGCCCCCUGCGUCCACGUUACAGCAGCUGCACGGGGCUCUCGUGAUCAUUUCAGACCGGCGGUGUGUCAUUAACGGCUCCGUCCGCGGGCCUGAUGAUUAAACUCUUGUUAAGUCUCUGGUAUUUUCACAUGAUGCUGCUCUGAGUGUAAACAGUGUGAAGACAGAUUAGUUCUGCUGCUGCGGGUAAAGAAGAUCAGCAGAGAUUAUUAACAAACAUGUUGGAUUAAAUACAGAGUAUCACUUA